GUCGGGUCUCUUCGAACUUUCCUGAUCCCCAAGCCCUAGACCGGGUUCCAACAGAAGCCUGCGGCCCUCUCGGUACGCGCGCGAGCCGAUCUGGCCGCCAGCAGCACACAAUACGCCCGAGUAGCUCUGCAUUCCCUAAAAAGGCCCAGAAGCCUCCUCCUUUCAAUGCCCCGAAUCUCCUGCUUUACCCCUGCUACCCUACCUACAGUUGCCAGGCCACCAGGGUUUUGCUGUAGUAAGUUCUCAAGUGCCUGUGGGUCCAGGAGGAUCUGAGACAAUGGACAACAUGGAGGAAAGAGCCAGCAGUUCUAAAGCUGAUCACUAUAGUCAUCAUUUGGCUAAACUACCUCCUUUGCCUUGUAUGUAAUAGCAAACCUUUCUGGGGGUU